rnacentral:rRNA from 1 species
GAUGAACGCUAGCGGCAGGCUUAACACAUGCAAGUCGAGGGGUAUGGCAGCAAUGCCAGAGACCGGCGCACGGGUGCGUAACGCGUAUGCAAUCUGCCUUUCACAAAGGGAUAGCCCAGAGAAAUUUGGAUUAAUACCUUAUAGUAUAUUUAAGUGGCAUCACUUGAUUAUUAAAGUAACAACGGUGAAAGAUGAGCAUGCGUCCCAUUAGCAGUUGGUAAGGUAACGGCUUACCAAGGCAACGAUGGGUA